ACCAUGAGUAGGGUGUUGAUGAUGAAGUUGGAAGAUUUGUGAAUUUAUCCUGUGUUACUUCUGGGAUUCAGAAUGCUCAGUGCUGGCAUGGAGGAACUCACAUCGACAUUUGUGAAGAUAUUUCUGAUCAUGUUGAGCAAAUCCAUGCCCUCCUUGAAACAGAGUUCUCCCUAAAGCUGCUGUCUUACUCUGUCAACGUGAUAGUGGACAUCCACGCAGUGCAGCUCCUCUGGCACCAGCUUCGAGUCUCAGUGCUGGUUCUGCGGGAGCGCAUUCUGCAAGGUCUGCAGGACGCCAAUGGCAACUACACUAGGCAGACGGACAUUCUGCAAGCUUUCUCUGAAGAGACAAAAGAGGGCCGGCUUGAUUCUCUAACAGAAGUGGAUGACUCAGGACAAUUAACCAUCAAAUGUUCUCAAAAUUACUUGUCUCUGGAUUGUGGCAUUACUGCAUUCGAACUGUCUGACUACAGUCCAAGUGAGGAUUUGCUCAGUGGGCUAGGUGACAUGACCUCUAGCCAAGUCAAAACCAAACCCUUUGACUCUUGGAGCUACAGUGAGAUGGAAAAGGAGUUUCCUGAGC
rnacentral:lncRNA from 1 species